rnacentral:rRNA from 1 species
UACGGAAGGGGCAAGCGUUGUUCGGAAUCACUGGGCGUAAAGGGCGCGUAGGCGGCUCAUGAAGGCUGUGGUGAAAGUCCGGGGCUCAACCUCGGAUCGGCCGUGGCGACUCGUGGGCUGGAGCACUGUAGAGGCGGGUGGAAUUCCGGGUGUAGCGGUGGAAUGCGUAGAGAUCCGGAAGAACACCAGUGGCGAAGGCGGCCCGCUGGGCAGUGGCUGACGCUGAGGCGCGACAGCGUGGGGAGCAAACAGG